UACGGGGGGAGCAAGCGUUGUUCGGAUUUACUGGGCGUAAAGGGCGCGUAGGCGGUCAGCACAAGUCAGUUGUGAAAUCUCCGAGCUUAACUCGGAAAGGUCAACUGAUACUGUGCGACUAGAGUGCGGAAGGGGCAACUGGAAUUCUCGGUGUAGCGGUGAAAUGCGUAGAUAUCGAGAGGAACACCUGCGGCGAAGGCGGGUUGCUGGGCUGACACUGACGCUGAGGCGCGAAAGCCAGGGGAGCGAACGGG
rnacentral:rRNA from 1 species